rnacentral:rRNA from 1 species
CGAGUGAAGCGGCAACAGCUCAAAUUUGAAAUCUGGCCCUUUCAGGGUCCGAGUUGUAAUUUGCAGAGGAUGCUUCGGGUUUGGCUCCGGUCUAAGUUCCUUGGAACAGGACGUCAUAGAGGGUGAGAAUCCCGUAUGUGACUGGCCGCCACGCCUGUGUGAAGCUCCUUCGACGAGUCGAGUUGUUUGGGAAUGCAGCUCAAAAUGGGUGGUAAAUUUCAUCUAAAGCUAAAUACUGGCCAGAGACCGAUAGCGCACAAGUAGAGUGAUCGAAAGAUGAAAAGCACUUUGGAAAGAGAGUCAAACAGUACGUGAAAUUGUUGAAAGGGAAGCGCUUGCAACCAGACUUGCCCGCGGGUGAUCAACCGGUAUUCUUACCGGUGCACUCGCCCGUGGUCAGGCCAGCAUCGGUUUGGGCGGCUGGAUAAAGUCCACUGGAAUGUAGCUCCUCUCGGGGAGUGUUAUAGCCAGAGGUGCCAUGCAGCCCGUCCGGACCGAGGACCGCGCUUCGGCUAGGAUGCUGGCGUAAUGGUUGUAAGCGACCCGUCUUGAAACACGGACCAAGGAGUCUAACAUCUAUGCGAGUGUUUGGGUGUCAAACCCAUGCGCGUAAUGAAAGUGAACGGAGGUGGGAACCCUUAAGGGUGCACCAUCGACCGAUCCUGAUGUCUUCGGAUGGAUUUGAGUAAGAGCAUAGCUGUUGGGACCCGAAAGAUGGUGAACUAUGCCUGAAUAGGGUGAAGCCAGAGGAAACUCUGGUGGAGGCUCGCAGCGGUUCUGACGUGCAAAUCGAUCGUCAAAUUUGGGUAUAG